rnacentral:rRNA from 1 species
UACGAAGGGGGCGAGCGUUGUUCGGAUUUACCGGGCGUAAAGGGCGCGCAGGCGGCUCAUUUUGUCAGGCGUGAAAUCCCUCGGCUUAACCGGGGAACUGCGUCUGAUACUGGAUGGCUUGAGUUCGGGAGAGGGAUGCGGAAUUCCAGGUGUAGCGGUGAAAUGCGUAGAUAUCUGGAGGAACACCGGUGGCGAAGGCGGCAUCCUGGACCGAUACUGACGCUGAGGAGCGAAAGCCAGGGGAGCAAACGGG